rnacentral:rRNA from 1 species
UACGGGAGGCAGCAGUGGGGAAUAUUGCACAAUGGGCGCAAGCCUGAUGCAGCCAGUGCCGCGUGUAUGAAAAAGGCCUUCGGGUUGUAAAGUACUUUCAGUCGUGAGGAAGGUGUUAAGGUUAAUAACCUUAGCAAUUGACGUUAGCGACAGAAGAAGCACCGGCUAACUCCGUGCCAGCAGCCGCGGUAAUACGGAGGGUGCGAGCGUUAAAUCGGAAUUACUGGGCGUAAAGGGCACGCAGGCGGUUAAUUAAGUUGGAUGUGAAAUCCCCCGGGCUUAAACCUGGGAAUGGCAUUCAAGACUGGUUAGCUAGAGUCUUGUAGAGGGGGUAGAAUUCCAUGUGUAGCGGUGAAAUGCGUAGAGAUGUGGAGGAAUACCGGUGGCGAAGGCGGCCCCGUGGACAAAGACUGACGCUCAUGUGCGAAAGCGUGGGGAGCAAACAGGGAUAGAUACC